GGCUGUCGUCAGCUCGUGUCGUGAGAUGUUGGGUUAAGUCCCGCAACGAGCGCAACCCACGUCUUUAGUUGCCAGCAUUAAGUUGGGCACUCUAGAGAGACUGCCGGUGAUAAACCGGAGGAAGGUGUGGAUGACGUCAAGUCAUCAUGCCCCUUACAUCCUGGGCUACACACGUACUACAAUGCUACGGACAAAGGGCAGCAAACUCGCGGGAGCUAGCAAAUCCCAUAAACCGUGGCUCAGUUCAGAUCGUAGGCUGCAACUCGCCUACGUGAAGGAGGAAUCGCUAGUAAUCGCAGGUCAGCAUACUGCGGUGAAUACGUUCCCGGGCCUUGUACACACCGCCCGUCACACCAUGGAAGUUGGCCACGCCCGAAGUCGUUACUCCAACCCGCAAGGGAGGAGGAUGCCGAAGGUGGGGCUGAUGACUGGGGUGAAGUCGUAACAAGGUAGCCGUACCGGAAGGUGCGGCUGGAUCACCUCCUAA
rnacentral:rRNA from 1 species